GGAGAGAUGCCGGAGAUGGUUUAUCGGGGCGGCCUCGAAAGCCGUUGUGGGCGUAUGUUCACCGGGGGUUCGAAUCCCUCUCUCUCCGCCA
rnacentral:tRNA from 1 species